ACGCUCGACACCUACGGGAGCAGCAGUGAGGAAUAUUGGUCAAUGGGCGCUAGCCUGAACCAGCCAAGUAGCGUGAAGGAUGAAGGCUCUAUGGGUCGUAAACUUCUUUUAUAUAAGAAUAAAGUGCAGUAUGUAUACUGUUUUGUAUGUAUUAUAUGAAUAAGGAUCGGCUAACUCCGUGUCAGCAGCCGCGGUAAUCUGAGCGGGCUGGCAAGGC
rnacentral:rRNA from 1 species